AAGAGUGAACCCUUAAUGACCUGCAGCUGACAGAGCACUCUGAUGUUCAUUGCUGGAUGAGGCCCAUGCUCAGUAAUGCACAGUAGCCAUAGGAGGGUUUCGUGGGGGCCCCUUGACUGCCCUUCUGUCCCGAGAAGCUCAUGACACUUUCUCCAACCAGCACGCUACAGAGAUCGAGGCGUCGGCAGGUGGGCAGUGAGAGUGCCUCUUCCUGAUCUGCAUGCAGCCCCCAGGCAUGGCUGGGCACAAAGCAACCCUAGGAGGAGGGAGGUGUGGCGGCAAUUUGCUCCCAAGCCAUUUCCUUUCUGUCUAGUUUCAGGAAGCCACAGCCACAGCAUUGCUUCACCUGACUAGCCAGUGUGGACACAAGAACGAGCCCAUCGUCCCCAGCUGGUCUUCCUGUCAGGUGGCCUAACAAAUGGUGAAAUGAAAUGACGCAGUCUGAUCCAAUCUGCUGUUACCAGUGGAAACGUGAAGUGUCGCAGCCCUGCCUCAAGCUGGGAAACAGAGGUGGAGGGCAAACUGGUUGCGUCCAAGGCAGCUCCUGACAUGGAGACUGAGUCCCUGAACAAGAGCCCCUGGAUCAAAGCCUCUGAAUCAUAGCCAGGACCCCACAAGGACCCCCUUAUCUCAGUCUGCACCUGUAUUGUGGUGUCAUUGUAUUUAACAUGUUUUUUAAAGAUGUUUUGCUUUUAAA